GCGGGGCGUGCGGGGCGGGGGGCUGCGGGACCCCGGGGUCCCUGCGGCGGCCCCUGCACCCCUGGCUCCGAGAGGGGCUCGCCGCGCCCGAGCGCGGGGUCGGGAGUUGAUGCCCCCUUUGUCCCAAAGGUCACCUGUCCCGGCCCCGGCCCGCAGCAUCUGCAGGGGCCCGGGAUCCCCACGCCACUGCGGCCCCGGCAGGGCUCGGGAGCUGAGGAUGACGGGGUGUAAGCCGCCCCCCGACCCGCCCCGGGCCCCGGCCCAGCGCCCGAGGGUCGGGGAGCAGGUGAUCGUGCCAGCGACCGGCCGGAACGAGGUCGCCGACCCUCCCCUCCCCGCUGCGCAGCCCCGAGCAGAGAGCGCCAAGCUGUCGAGUGGGGUCACUGGGGGUGCUCCUGGCGCCCUGAACUUAGCAGAGCAUCAGCCCAGGAUAAGAUCAAGGCAUUCCGUCUCCGAUUGCAUCUUUUGGAAACUUUGGAGAAGCUUGUCUGUGUGCCAGCAGACAGGCACCAACACACUCUGAGCUGGAGGUACUAUUUGAACCUGGUUGUUCUGGGAGCACUGUGAGAUGGAGCCAACUCGGCCAGCUGUCGGGGUCCAGAGUCUCCCUGUAGGUGCUGGCCGGUGAGCAGCUUCUCCUGAAUAUUAGGACUCAGGAUACUUCGGAGCCCCUUCCUAGCCCUGCCCUGUCCUGGGCGCUCCCUCUACCAGACACAAGUCUCCACUCCUAAUUAGUGGGUACAGCUCGCAGGCGCCUCUCCCACCCUUGUCACACAUUCCCUCCUUCCUGAUCCCACGAAUUGCCCUAGCAGCUGAGAUGCUCACAGACAAGGCACUGGCAGCCGCCGUUUCCAAGGGCCGCAGCAGGGAGAAGGAUGCUUUGGGGACCCCGAAGGGCCAUGUCAGGCCACUCUUGGCUCUACCCCUGCUGGGAGGAACCAGGAGCCAGCACCGUUCCCAGGAAGCUCAGAAUCUCUGCCCCGCAGGACAGGACCCACGCGGCCCCCCCACCCCCGGGAUCCCUCCAGGCACUAGGCCAGCAGUGGGUGAAAAUGAAGUCCCAUCUGCACAGAGCUUCGGGCCAGCUACGGAUCAGUGGGCUCUGCUGAUGACCAGGGGUUCCCAUCCCGAGUGCCCCCAGUUACUGUCUCGCCACUCAGGAAGAUGAUCUUGUGCUUAGGAAAUCAGCUAUCAGGCCCUCAGACAUCGCUUCUGGCCAAAUAUGAAUUCCUCGCUGUGAAUUUCCUCCCUCUCUCUGCAAUCUGCUGAAAGGCUCCAAGUCUCAGCUGGAGGGGGAGG